rnacentral:rRNA from 1 species
GACGAACGCUGGCGGCGUGCUUAACACAUGCAAGUCGAACGGAAAGGCCCUGCUUUUGUGGGGUGCUCGAGUGGCGAACGGGUGAGUAACACGUGAGUAACCUGCCCUUGACUUUGGGAUAACUUCAGGAAACUGGGGCUAAUACCGGAUAGGAGCUCCUGCUGCAUGGUGGGGGUUGGAAAGUUUCGGCGGUUGGGGAUGGACUGGCGGCUUAUCAGCUUGUUGGUGGGGUAGUGGCUUACCAAGGCUUUGACGGGUAGCCGGCCUGAGAGGGUGACCGGCCACAUUGGGACUGAGCUACGGCCCAGACUCCUCCGGGAGGCAGCAGUGGGGAAUAUUGCACAAUGGGCGGAAGCCUGAUGCCGCACCGCAGCGUGCGGGAUGACGGCCUUCGGGUUGUAACCCGCUUUCGCCUGUGACGAAGCGUGAGUGACGGUAAUGGGUAAAGAAGCACCGGCUAACUACGUG